GUGGGGAAUCUUGCGCAAUGGCCUAACGGCUGACGCAGCGACGCCGCGUGAGGGAUGACGCUCUUCGGAGUGUAAACCUCUUUUGCCCGGGACGAAUUGCCAGCAUUCGCUGGCUUGACGGUACCGGGUGAAUAAGCACCGGCUAACUCCGUGCCAGCAGCCGCGGUAAUACGGGGGGUGCGAGCGUUGUCCGGAAUCACUGGGCGUAAAGGGCGCGUAGGUGGUCUGAUAAGGGUGUGGUGAAAGCCCGGGGCUCAACCCCGGGUCGGCCGUGCCGACUGUCGGACUGGAGUGCUGUAGGGGCAGGCGGAAUUCCGGGUGUAGCGGUGGAAUGCGUAGAGAUCCGGAGGAAGACCGGUGGCGAAGGCGGCCUGCUGGGCAGUUACUGACACUGAGGCGCGACAGCGUGGGGAGCAAACAGGAUUAGAAACCCUAGUAGUCC
rnacentral:rRNA from 1 species